rnacentral:tRNA from 1 species
UGGGGUUUAGCUCACUGGUAGAGUGCUUGCCUAGCAUGCAUGAGGCCUAGGGUUCAAUCCUCAGUCCUGU